rnacentral:rRNA from 1 species
CGUGUGCAACCUGCCUUUAUCUGGGGGAUAGCCUUUCGAAAGGAAGAUUAAUACUCCAUAAUAUAUUGAACGGCAUCGUUUAAUAUUGAAAGCUCCGGCGGAUAGAGAUGGGCACGCGCAAGAUUAGCUAGUUGGUGAGGUAACGGCUCACCAAGGCAAUGAUCUUUAGGGGGCCUGAGAGGGUGAUCCCCCACACUGGUACUGAGACACGGACCAGACUCCUACGGGAGGCAGCAGUGAGGAAUAUUGGUCAAUGGGUGCAAGCCUGAACCAGCCAUCCCGCGUGAAGGACGACUGCCCUAUGGGUUGUAAACUUCUUUUGUAUAGGGAUAAACCUUUCCACGUGUGGAAAGCUGAAGGUACUAUACGAAUAAGCACCGGCUAACUCCGUGCCAGCAGCCGCGGUAAUACGGAGGGUGCAAGCGUUAUCCGGAUUUAUUGGGUUUAAAGGGUCCGUAGGCGGACUUAUAAGUCAGUGGUGAAAGCCUGUCGCUUAACGAUAGAACUGCCAUUGAUACUGUAAGUCUUGAGUAUAUUUGAGGUAGCUGGAAUAAGUAGUGUAGCGGUGAAAUGCAUAGAUAUUACUUAGAACACCAAUUGCGAAGGCAGGUUACCAAGAUAUAACUGACGC